UGUGAAUAGCAGAAUUCAGUGAAUCAUCGAAUCUUUGAACGCACCUUGCGCCCCUUGGCAUUCCGAGGGGCACACCCGUUUGAGUGUCGUGAAAUUCUCAAAACCCUUUCUUUUGGUCAUUCUUUGACCGCGGAAAGGAUUKUGGACUUGGAGGCCUUUGGCUGGUUUCACCUUGAAGCGAGCUCCUCCCAAAUGUAUUAGUGGGGUCUGCAUUCGUCGCGUCCUUGGCGUGAUAAGUUGCUUCUACGUCUUGAGAUUKUUGACGCUGUACACCUGCCUCUAACUGUCUCAUUGACAACGAUAGGUGUUCCGGUCGCCGCCGAUUUUUCGGUGGGAGGCUUGACCCACGAAACAAACCUUGACCUCAAAUCGGGUGAGACUACCCGCUGAACUUAAGCAUAUCAAUAAGCGGAGGAAA
rnacentral:sRNA from 1 species